UGGUUGCAGUGAGAGUUAGUGCUUAGAGGAGAUGCCUGUGGGAAACCUCAAGGAGUGUUGCAGACAGAGCAGCCAGACACCUGACUGGGAACAGCUGCUCAUCCUUUGUAUGCUGGAGAGCCUGAGAAGCAAAAACUUCUCUCCAAGAUCCUACACUGUUGUUGCCAAAGCAGUGGUAAACAUCAGUGCAGAAACCAGAACUUACUUCGGGGUGAAGUGACAUGGCAUGGAUACUGAAAAAAAAAAUCUUCACCAACGUGAAAGCCAUCAAAAGGAAUGGGAUACCAUGAAGUGCAGGGGCGUGGACCAAAGCUUAUCUAAAUUGCCCCCCUUGAAAUUUUGGUAACAGAAAAGGAGGACUUUCAAACACUCUGGUAUGGGGAUACAAUGAAAUGAUAUGUAGUUGAAGAGAAAAUAAAGAAAAUUGAGAAUUUUAGUGACUCCAGGAAAAUGGACCUGUACGGAGUUUCCAUGUUUGCCUUGAGGAUUGAUAGCAGUCAAUUGAUAGCAGUCAACUUGUCCUGCACUGCUCUAGAAAGCUCUAUUCAACCCAGAUUGAUAAAGAUAGACAAAAUAUCUGUGAACUAAACAUGCAUAAAAGCCACCUUAACUAUUUUCCUGAGCAUUUACUUGUACUCUGAAAUUGAUAAUUUCUUCUCAAGGGUUCCUUAGUACAAGGAAAUGGUGCUACAAUUCACAUCCCACAGAUGCUUGGCACAUAACAUAGUAAAAUUCUCUUUCCUCUCCCUAAUUAUGACCAUGAAGAGGUGGUUCUUGUGCUCACUGCUGUGCCAUUCUCUGCUUCAUUCGAAAUUUGUAUUCCAAAAUCAAGGCCUCAGAAUUUAGGAGACAUGUGGCUAAGUUGGUUUUGGUUUACAGUUAUGUGAUUCCAAAGAAUUUCUGCCUCUGUUCCAGGAGGCACUUUCUUUUCCAGUCUUAAUGAUCCUUGGGAUUAAUAAGUCUCACCUUAAGGUCCUGUUACACGUCCUCCAGUGAGGAACAUUUCAGAAACCCCAAAAGUGUCCUCAUUCUCUUCCUCUUCUCUGUGGUUUCUUCUGUAGUAUAAUUAUUAUUACACAAGAGAGCAGAUGCAGAACUGAAACAGGUAACCAACCCCCAAGUAUUUGUAGGCUUUCUGAAACAACACUUGCAGCUUUUUGUAGUGUAUCUGGCAGUGAUCAAGUGUGAACCCUUGAGUUUUAUCUUCAGUCAGUAUUAUGAAAAGAAAAUGCAGAAAAGCUGCCCUGGAACAAGAAGAAAGGUGUUCUUUUCCCAUUAAGACAACAUGUGUAGUCUGAACAUCAAAGACAAUGAGUGGAAAAGAAGCAAAAGGAUGCAUAAACUCUCUAACUUAAAGACAUCCUACAACAUCUCACUUGGAUAAUUGGGUGACAACAUCAUCAAAACCCAUGGAUCAUCUUCAUUUCUUGGGAAGUGGGUAUCACGGCAAUGGAGCCUCAGCCCUUGUCAUCCUUGGCUCCUGAAGCUGGUGAGGUUACUUCAGCCACAAGCCUCUGGACCACACUUCUUUGUCCAUGGCAAUACCAUGACUUGCACGAAAAACUUCCUAUGUGCCUGCUAUGUGUUCACCCUGUUUGGUAAGGAAUGAUAUGUACGGGAUGUAGUGAUAAAUUAUGUUCAGCACAAUACUCUUGCAAAAAAAUCAUCCUUCAAAUAUUUGUUGGGGCUGUGUACUGUUCUCUGAAGCCCAAUGGGAUUUAAAAUGGGUUCUCAGGUCUUUUUUAAAUAGGAGAAAAAAAAUUAAAGGCUGCAUUAUUAUUAAUCACUGCAUGAAAAAUUAAAAUUGUGCUAUCAAGAGGAGUCUCUGUAACAUGUCUUUUCUUGAUGCAUCUAACUCAGUUAUUACAUGCCCCUAAGAAGCCUUUUUAUAUCUUUCUUUCCAUUAAAAAUUCUUUCACCCCUUUCUCUCAAACACUUCAGCUGUGUUAGCACAGUGCUACAAACCAUCCCUGGCCUGCUCUCUGUUGCUGUAGUAUAUUAAACUGGUCUUGGCUCUAUAAAUUUUCUUCAUAGGCUUGGCCAUAUUUUUGUCUCAAAUACUUUUCUGAAGUUUAUGGUAUCCUUAAUUUUUCAUGGAUCGUAAAGUCAGAAUGAACUGUUGAGGUAUUUGUUUUGCCCUCCCAGAU